rnacentral:rRNA from 1 species
GAUGAACGCUGGCGGCGUGCCUAAUACAUGCAAGUCGAGCGAACGGGCGAGAAGCUUGCUUUUCUGAUGUUAGCGGCGGACGGGUGAGUAACACGUGGAUAACCUACCUAUAAGACUGGGAUAACUUCGGGAAACCGGAGCUAAUACCGGAUAAUAUUUUGAACCGCAUGGUUCAAAAGUGAAAGACGGUCUUGCUGACACUUAUAGAUGGAUCCGCGCUGCAUUAGCUAGUUGGUAAGGUAACGGCUUACCAAGGCAACGAUGCAUAGCCGACCUGAGAGGGUGAUCGGCCACACUGGAACUGAGACACGGUCCAGACUCCUACGGGAGGCAGCAGUAGGGAAUCUUCCGCAAUGGGCGAAAGCCUGACGGAGCAACGCCGCGUGAGUGAUGAAGGUCUUCGGAUCGUAAAACUCUGUUAUUAGGGAAGAACAUAUGUGUAAGUAACUGUGCACAUCUUGACGGUACCUAAUCAGAAAGCCACGGCUAACUACGUG